UACGGAGGGUGCAAGCGUUAUCCGGAUUUACUGGGUUUAAAGGGUGUGUAGGCGGGUCUAUAAGUCAGUGGUGAAAUCUCCGGGCUCAACCCGGAAACUGCUAUUGAUACUAUAGGUCUUGAAUAUUGUGGAGGUGGGCGGAAUGUGUCAUGUAGCGGUGAAAUGCUUAGAGAUGACACAGAACACCGAUUGCGAAGGCAGCCCACUACGCAACUAUUGACGCUGAGGCACGAAAGCGUGGGGAUCAAACAGG
rnacentral:rRNA from 1 species